GACGAACGCUGGCGGCGUGCUUAACACAUGCAAGUCGAACGAAGUGGCGAACGGGUGAGUAACGCGUAAUCAACCUGCCCUUCAGAGGGGGACAACAGUUGGAAACGACUUCUAAUACUGCAUACUGAAGGAGGGGAUUGCGUCUGAUUAGCUAGUUGGCGGGGUAACGGCCCACCAAGGCGAUGAUCAGUAGCCGGGCUGAGAAGAUGAACGGCCACAUUGGGACUGUGAAACGGCCCAGACUCCUACGGGAGGCAGCAGUGGGGAAUCUUCCGCAAUGGACGAAAGUCUGACGGAGCAACGCCGCGUGAGUGAUGACGGCCUUCGGGGUGUAAAGCUCUGUUAAUCGGGACGCGGUACCGGAAGAGAAAGCCACGGCUAACUACGUGCCAGCAGCCGCGGUAAUUC
rnacentral:rRNA from 1 species